UACGGAGGAUGCAAGCGUUAUCCGGAUUCAUUGGGUUUAAAGGGUGCGUAGGCGGGUCAAUAAGUCAGGGGUGAAAUCCGGCAGCUCAACUGUCGAACUGCCUCUGAUACUGUUGGUCUUGAAUUGGGUUGAGGCAGGCGGAAUAUGACAUGUAGCGGUGAAAUGCUUAGAUAUGUCAUGGAACACCGAUAGCGAAGGCAGCCUGCCAAACCUUGAUUGACGCUGAUGCACGAAAGCGUGGGUAGCGAAC
rnacentral:rRNA from 1 species